rnacentral:rRNA from 1 species
UACGUAGGUGGCAAGCGUUUGUCCGGAUUUACUGGGCGUAAAGAGCGCGCAGGCGGUCGAUCAAGUCGCGUGUGAAAGCCCCCGGCUCAACUGGGGAGGGUCACGCGAUACUGAUCGACUCGAAGGCAGGAGAGGGUAGUGGAAUUCCCGGUGUAGUGGUGAAAUGCGUAGAUAUCGGGAGGAACACCAGUGGCGAAGGCGACUACCUGGCCUGUUCUUGACGCUGAGGCGCGAAAGCUAGGGGAGCAAAGCGGGG